UACGGGGGGAGCAAGCGUUGUUCGGAUUUACUGGGCGUAAAGGGCGCGUAGGCGGCCACCGCAAGUCGACUGUGAAAUCUCCGGGCUUAACUCGGAAAGGUCAGCCGAUACUGCGGGGCUAGAGUGCAGAAGGGGCAGCUGGAAUUCUCGGUGUAGCGGUGAAAUGCGUAGAUAUCGAGAGGAACACCUGCGGCGAAGGCGGGUUGCUGGGCUGACACUGACGCUGAGGCGCGAAAGCUAGGGGAGCGAACGGG
rnacentral:rRNA from 1 species